rnacentral:lncRNA from 1 species
CUUAUUAUGCAACAUUUGCAAAAUGUGAUGACCUCGUGAGCACCCUCCCAGGGCUGCAAGGCUUCUACUUCAUUAGCUUCCAGUUAGAUCCUGCUCUGCGCUCCACGGAGAAGCUCCGGGACCACGCCUGUCCUCCCUGCAGGGCUGGGACGUGCUGAACUUGUUGCCAGAGGACAGACGCCGAGCCAGCACAGACCAGCCAGGAAGGCCUCCCCCUGGACCCCUGCAAGCCCUCUGGCCUCAGCUCCUGCAGGGAUAACCCACAGCAUAUGGAAAGAGAAAACAAAACGACCCGGGCUGAAAAAACGAUCAACACCUUCUGUAGGACAGACAGUGGACAAAGUGCUCAGCGACUGGCCAUCGUGGCCACAGCCUGAAUGAGAAGAACUCCUGCCCUGAGGCCACUGGGGGCCUGGGGUGGGCUCCUGGGGUCACAGAGACCAGGGGGCAUUGGAGAGAUGAGGAGCUGGAAUCAGACUCCGGGCCUGAAGCACAGACUGGAAUAAGUCUGUACAGACCUGCCUCCUGGGAUGCUCUCCGGAAACUGGUCCCUGGAGGCAAGGCACAAGGGAGCUUCCGCAGAAAUCGGAGAAACCAAGCACCUGGGCUGAGGAUUUCCCAAGGAGGGCAGGACAGGGGCCUCGAAUGUCAAAGUUAGACCUGGCUCUGGAUGGGGAGCAGGGGUCAGGGAGGAGGCAGCCACGGAAAUCCACAGCUCCAGGACAGCCUCUCCUAGGGUUUUGCCUGGGAUCUUAUUCCACCGUGAAAAGGAGUGAAGCACUGAUGCCGGCUACAACGUGGGUGAAACUUGAGAAGUCAUGCCACGUGAAAGAAGCCAGUCACAAGGCUGCAUAUUGCAUGAUUCCGUUUGUAUCAAAUGUCCACAAUAGGCAAAUCACAGAUUCCUGGUUGCCUUGAGUUGUGUGGCUGGGGGGAGCCGGCGGGAUAUCUGAGGGACAGCUGAACGGGACAGGGUUUCUUUCUGAGGUGACGAAAAUCUUCCAACAUUGAUUGUGGUGAUGGUUGCACAUAUCUGUGAAUAUAGCGAACACCGUGGAAUGGUACACUUUAAAUGGACGAUCUGUAUGGUAUGUGAGUUAUAUUUCAAUAA